rnacentral:SRP_RNA from 1 species
GCUGGGUGUGGUGGUGCAUGCCUGUAGUCCCAGCUACUCAGGAGGCUGAGGUGGGAGGAUCACUUGAGCUUGGGAGAUCAAGGCUGCAGCUGCAGUGAGCCAGAUUAUGCCACUGCACUCCAGCCCGGGCAACAGAGUGAGACCCUGUCUCAA